rnacentral:rRNA from 1 species
GGGCCCGCACAAGCGGUGGAGCAUGUGGUUUAAUUCGAUGAUACGCGAGGAACCUUACCAGGGCUUAAAUGCAGAGCGACAGAGGUGGAAACACCUCCUUCUUCGGACGGUCUGCAAGGUGCUGCAUGGUUGUCGUCAGCUCGUGCUGUGAAGUGUCGGGUUAAGUCCCAUAACGAGCGCAACCCCUAUUUCUAGUUGCCAGCGGUUCGGCCGGGGACUCUAGAGAAACUGCCAGCGUAAGCUGUGAGGAAGGUGGGGAUGACGUCAAAUCAUCACGGCCCUUACGUCCUGGGCCACACACGUGCUACAAUGGUAAGGACAGAGAGUUGCCAACCCGCGAGGGUGAGCUAAUCUUUAAAACCGAUCUCAGUUCGGAUCGCAGUCUGCAACUCGACUGCGUGAAGCUGGAAUC